rnacentral:rRNA from 1 species
UACGUAGGGUGCGAGCGUUGUCCGGAAUUAUUGGGCGUAAAGGGCUCGUAGGCGGUCUGUCGCGUCGGGAGUGAAAACUCAGGGCUUAACCCUGAGCCUGCUUCCGAUACGGGCAGACUAGAGGUAUGCAGGGGAGAACGGAAUUCCUGGUGUAGCGGUGGAAUGCGCAGAUAUCAGGAGGAACACCGGUGGCGAAGGCGGCUUCCUGGCCUGUUCUUGACGCUGAGGAGCGAAAGCGUGGGGAGCGAACAGG